rnacentral:rRNA from 1 species
CAGUCGCCGCGGUAAUACAGAGGGUGCGAGCGUUAAUCGGAUUUACUGGGCGUAAAGCGUGCGUAGGCGGCUUCUUAAGUCGGAUGUGAAAUCCCUGAGCUUAACUUAGGAAUUGCAUUCGAUACUGGGAAGCUAGAGUAUGGGAGAGGAUGGUAGAAUUCCAGGUGUAGCGGUGAAAUGCGUAGAGAUCUGGAGGAAUACCGAUGGCGAAGGCAGCCAUCUGGCCUAAUACUGACGCUGAGGUACGAAAGCAUGGGGAGCAAACAGGAUUAGAUACCCCGUAGUCCCUGUCUCUUAUACA